CCCUUAGGUGUUCUGGGCCGCACGCGCGCUACACUGACGAAUGCAACGAGCUUAUAACCUUGGCCGAAAGGUCUGGGUAAUCUCCAAAUUUCGUCGUGAUGGGGAUAGAUUAUUGCAAUUAUUAAUCUUCAACGAGGAAUGCCUAGUAAGCGCAAGUCAUCAGCUUGCGUUGAUUACGUCCCUGCCCUUUGUACACACCGCCCGUCGCUCCUACCGAUUGAAUGGUCCGGUGAAGCGCUCGGACCGCGGCCUCUUGACGGUUCGCUGUCGAUUGGCUGUGGGAAGUUCGUUAAACCUUAUCAUUUAGAGGAAGGAGAAGUCGUAACA
rnacentral:rRNA from 1 species